UUGUUCAAGCAAACCAAAACAACUAAUGCAUAAAUAAAACUAAAGCGAAAUAAUUACAUAUUAAAGUCGCGCGUGCGGGUGUAUGCGUGUGCGUGUGUACGUGCGCGUGUGUGUGUGUGCGUGUGCGAAGCAGUUGAAAACGCAGCAAAAAUCUACUGCACAGAGCCAAAAUAAACGCGCAAAAGGCAACGGGCAAAAAAUAUAAACAUAACACGAAUGUGCGAAAGUGGGCGUGGGGACUGGACGAUUUUAUAGUUAUAGCAGCCGAUUAGACGUACAUAUAUAUAUGUAAACAUAGAGCGGCGCAAUUUUGAUUUCUCUUUUGUUUUUAUAUUGUGUUAAUUUGCGCCCUUGCGUGCAAAUGUGUGUGUGUGUGUGUGUGUGUGCGUGCAUGGAAUUUAGCGACGCCUGCUGGCAUAAAAUUCAACCCCCAAUGCCCCCGCCCCUACUUAACGGGCAAAGUAAGAAGAACAGCAACAAUGGCAGCACCUCACCACCAAAAACGCCAAGCACCACCCCCUGGCACGAACAGCAGCCCCUGACGAAAACCAUGCUGAAAAUUGACUCGGUCGAACGAAGGUGAUGUUGUUCUUGUUCUUGUUGCUGUUGUUGUUGUUGUUGUUGGGGUGUUAAGCUAAAAUAACAAGCAGCAGCGGCGCCGUAAUUCAAAAACUGUCGAAAUAAAACGGCUCUGCGCUCCACUUGCUGACACUCUCGACUUUCCCGCUCUUCCUCCCUCCCUCUCUCUCUCUCUCUCUCUUUCUCUCUCUCUCCAACGCUUUGGCCGUCUCGCUGUUCCGACACUCGUGCGCAUUCUAUCUCUCUCUCGCUCUGACUCUCUUGUGACGCUUAUUUUGCGGCAGCCAAAAGUUGAGCUCCAAGCGGCCUGUCCUUUAUAAUUGUAUUCGCCUGUGCGUGUGUGUGUGUGUGUGUGUGUGCAAAAGGCAUAAAUGUAAGCCAAAAGAGCAGCAGCCAACGGAAAGCAAGUUGAAAGCAUAAGCAAAACACUUUGAAUUCCGUUGGGCAACUCUUCUCUGUUAACUCUUCUCUGUUAACUUUAAUGCUAAAAUUGAUAAAUACAAAUUUUUCAUAAAUAAGUUGUUGCGAACAUUUUAAUUGCUGUUUAGGCAUUUGCUGCUUAAAAUUUUUGCGCAAAUUGUGCGCUGCGCAACACCGGCCGGCGGCCGUUUGGCAACACUGUUAAUGUUGUUGCCGCUGUGUGCAACCCUGUGUGCCGCACACGAAUGCGAGUGGGAAAGCGUGUGGUCGAAAAUCAAGAACAGCAACAAAAACAAGCGACGACGAAACAGCUACAAAAGCACUUGAUGAACAACAAUCCGAAAAGGAAAUCAAUAAUAAUAACAAUAACAAUAAACGCUCCCAAGUGUGCAACUCGACCUCCUCUACAUCUACUUCUUCUUC